rnacentral:rRNA from 1 species
UACGGAGGAUGCGAGCGUUAUCCGGAUUUAUUGGGUUUAAAGGGUGCGUAGGUGGCUAGAUAAGUCAGUGGUGAAAGUUUGUCGCUCAACGAUAAAAUUGCCAUUGAAACUGUUUAGCUUGAGUAUGUUUGAUGUAUGCGGAAUGCGUAGUGUAGCGGUGAAAUGCAUAGAUAUUACGCAGAACUCCAAUUGCGAAGGCAGCAUACAAAGCCAUAACUGACACUGAAGCACGAAAGCGUGGGUAUCAAAC